AUGUCGCAGAGUUCUUCGUCGGCUAGUCGGAGCCGGCCACCUCCUCCCCCGCUGCCAUUGAUCAUGUGCCCAAGCUGCCCAGGGACGAGGACCAGGUGGUAUGUGUCCGGGACAGAUCGCAACCCGGGCAUCCGGUUCUACAAGUGCCCAAACCAGGCAUACGGAGGCCCUUGCCGUUUUUGGCUGUGGGAGGACCAAUACGCGUACUACAUCAUCGGUGUUGGCAUCAACCUUCUCAUCGAGGCCGCCGGUGGUGGAAGCAACGUCAUGUUUGAAAUGGGUCGCGCCAUCGACGAAAUACGCACCGCAGCUAGGAACACCAUGACGAUAUGCAUGCUAAUGCUUUUCGUCCUGCUUGCCAAGGCGGCCGGCUGGCAGUAA
rnacentral:rRNA from 1 species